rnacentral:rRNA from 1 species
AUUGAACGCUGGCGGCAGGCCUAACACAUGCAAGUCGAGCGGAGAGGCGGACGGGUGAGUAAUGACUAGGAAUCUGCACGGGAGUGGGGGCUCACGUCCGGAAAGGGGCGAUAUUACCGCAUACUAUAAGAUGAGCAUAGGUCGGAUUAGCUAGUGGGGGGGGUAAAGGCCUACAAAGGCGACGAUCCGGCACUGGUCUGAGAGUGUGAUCAGUCACACUGGAACUGAGACACGGUCCAGACUCCUACGGGAGGCAGCAGUGGGGAAUAGUGGACAAUGGGCGAAAGCCUGAUCCAGCCAUGCCGCGUGUGUGAAGAAGGUCUUCGGAUUGUAAAGUACGUUAAGUUGGGAGGCGUUACCAACAGAAGAAGCACCGGCUAACUUCGUGCCAGCCGCCGCGGUAAUUC